AGUAUUCCAGUUGUAGUCCCGAACGACAAAACUGAAAGUAAAACUCCAAGCAUUACAAACAAUAAUGCUGCUCACUUUUCAGAAGUUGAGGAAAACCCUGAAGAACCUGCAGUAAAAGAAAAAACUGAAAAACCAGUUCUUGAAGAGAAACCUGAAGAACCAACAGUUGAAGAGAAAUCUGAAGAACCAGUUGAGGAGAAACCUGAAGAACCAACAGCUGAAGAGAAACCUGAAGAACCAGCAACUAAAGAAAAACAAGUGCUAGUAGGGGAGGAAACAGCUGAAGAACUAGCGCUUGAAGAGAAACCUGAAGAACUAACGAUUGAACAGACAGAUGAAGAACUAGUUGUUGAAGAUAAAACUGAAAAACCACCAAAUAAAGAGGAGAGACCUGAAACGGUAACUCUCCUUUAGCAGUGUCACAGAGUUUAUCCAUCCUAUUAGUUCUAUAUGUGCAACGAAUUCAUAUCUGUUUAUCUAUUGAAAUACUAAGUGAAAAUUCAAAUUUUCUUGCAGAAUUUGCCCAUUGCAGACUCAAAGGACCAGACUGACAAUGCAAUUCCAUGCGAUACCAACAAUGAUAUUGCUGACUAUGCAACAGUUGAGGAAAAACCUGAAGAAACAGUAGUUGAAGAAAAACAUGAAGAACCUGCAAUUGAAAAGAAAUUUGAAGAAUCAACAGUUAUGGAGAAACCUGAAGAACCAGCAGUGGAAGAAAAACCUGAAGAACCAACAGUUAAAGAGGAACCUGAAAAAUCAGUGAUGGAAGAGAAACCUGAAGAACCAAUUGUUGAGGAGAAACUUGAAGAACCAACUGUUGAAGAGAAACCUGAAAAAUCACUGAUUGAAGAAACACCUGAAGAACCAAUAUGGGAAGAAACACCUAAAGAACUAGCAUUUGAAGAGAAACCAGAAGAACCAGCAGUUGAAGAGGAGAAACCUGAAAAGGUAACUCUUUUGGAAGAGGUGAGUAUCAAGCAUUAGCACAUAGUUUAUCCAUCAUGUUAUUUCUGUAUGUGCAUCGAUUCACAUCUGCUUAUCUAUUGAAAGUCUAAAUGAGACUUUAAAUUCUUCUUGCAGAAUAUACCAGCUGUAGAUUUCAACGACAAGACUGACCGUGAAAUUCCAUGCGAUACCAACAAUGAUAUUGCUGACUAUGCAACAGUUGAGGAAAAACCUGAAGAACCGGUAGUUGAAGAAAAACAUGAAGAACCUGCAAUUGAAAAGAAAUUUGAAGAAUCAACGGUUAUGGAGAAACCUGAAAAACCAGUGGUUAAGGUACAACCUGAAGAACCAGCAGUGGAAGAAAAAGUUGAAGAACCAACAGUUAAUGAGGAACCUGAAAAAUCAGCGAUGGAAGAGAACCCUGAAGAAUCAAUUGUUGAGGAGAAACUUGAAGAACCAACUGUUGAAGAGAAACCUGAAAAAUCACUGAUUGAAGAAACACCUGAAGAACCAAUAUGGAAAGAAACACCUAAAGAACUAGCAUUUGAAGAGCAACCAGAAGAACCAGCAGUUGAAGAGGAGAAACCUGAAAAGGUAUCUCUUUUGGAAGAGGUGAGUAUCAAGCAUUAUCACAUAGUUUAUCCAUCCUGUUAUUUCUGUAUGUGCGACGAUUCACAUCUGCUUAUCUAUUGAAAGACUAAAUGAGACUUUAAAUUCUUCUUGCAGAAUAUGCCAGCUGUAGAUUUCAACGACAAGACUGACUGUGAAAUUCCAUGCAAUACCAACAAUGAUGUUGCUGAAUAUGUAGCAAUUGAGGAAAACCUUGAAGAACCAGCAGUUGAAGAAAAACAUGAAGAACCAACAGUUGAGGAGAAACCUGAAGAACUAGCAGUUGAAGAGAAACCCGAAAAACCAACAAUUGAGGAGAAACAUGAAGAACCAAUAGUUGAGAAGAAACCUGAAGAACCAGUAGUUGAGGAGAAACCAGAAGAACCACUAAUUGAAGAGGAGAAAUCUGAAAGGGUAACUUUCCUAGAAAAGGUGAGGAUCAAGCAUUGUCAAAAGGUUUAUCCAUCUUAUUAGUUGUGUAUGUGCGACGAUUCACAUCUGCUUACUUAUUGAAAGACUAAGUGAAACUUCAAAAUUCUUGCAGAGUAUGCUAGUUGUAGACUCGAACGACAAGACUGACAGUGAAAUUCCAUGCAAUACCAACAAAGAUGCUGCCCACUUUCCCGAAGUUGAGGCAAACCCUGAAGAACCAGCAGUUGAAGGAAAACCUAAAGAACCCGUUGAUGAAGAGAAACCAGAUGUACCAGUGGUUGAGAAACCUGAAAAACAAAUGGUUGAGGAGAAACUUGAAGAACCAAUGAUUGAGGAGAAAUCUGACGAACUAGUCGAGGAGAAAUCUCAACAACCAGCGGCUGAAAAGAAACCUGAAGAACCAGCAGCUAAAGAAUCACUUAAAGAGCUAGCAGGGGAGGAAACAACUGAAGAACUAGCACUUGAAGAGAAACUUAGAGAACCAACAGUUGAAGAACUAGUUCUUGAAGAUAAACCUGAAAACCCAGAAAAUGAAGAGGAUAAACUUGAAACAGUAACUCUCCAGGAAAAGGUAAGAAACAAGCAGUGUCACAGAGUUUAUCCAUCCUAUUAGCUCUACAUAUGCAAUGAAUUCACAUCUGUUUAUCCACUGAAAGACUAAGUGAAACUUUAAAUUUUUCUUGCAGAAUUUACCAAUUGCAGACUCAAACGACAAGACUGACAAUGCAACUCCCUGCAAUAACAACAAUGAUAUUGCUGACUCUGCAGCAGUUAAGGAAAAAACUGAAGAACCAGUAGUUGAGGAAAAACAUGAAGAACCGGCAACUGAAGAGAAAUCUGAAGAAUCAGAAUUUAUGAAAAAAACUGAAGAACCAGCGGUUGAGGUAAAACCUGAAGAACCAUCAGUGGAAGAGAAGCCUGAAGAACCAGCGGUUAGGAAAAAUCCUGAAGAACCAGCAGUUAAUGAGGAACCUGCAAAAUCAGCAACGGAAGAGAAACCUGAAGAACCAAUUGCUGAGGAGAAACUUGAAGAACCAACUCUUAAAGAGAAACCUGGAAAACCAGUAAUUGAAGAAACACCUGAAGAACCAACACUGGAAGUAACACCUAAAGAACAAGCAGAGAAACCUGAAGAACCAGUUGAAGAGGAAAAAACUGACAAGGUAACUCUUUUGGAAAAGGUGAGCAUCAAACACUGUCACAAAUUUUUGCCAUCAUAUUAGUUCUGUAUGUGCAACAAUUCACAUCUAAUUAUCCAUUGAAAGACUAAGUGAAACUUUAAUUCUUCUUGCAGAAUAUACCAGUUGUAGAUUUCAAUGAUACGACUGACAGUGAAAUUCCAUGCAAUACCAACGACGAUGUUGCUGAAGACGUAGCAGUUGAGGAAAACCUUGAAGAACCAUCAGUUGAGGAGAAACCUGAAGAAUUAGCGGUUGAAGAGAAACCUGAAAAACCAGCAAUUGAGGAGAAACGUGAAGAACCAAUAAUUGAGAAGAAACCUAAAGAACCAGCAGUUGAGGAGAAACCUGAAGAACAAACCGUUGAAGAGAGACUUGAAGAACCAACAAUUGAAGAUGAGAAACUUGAAGAACCAACAAAUGAAGAUGAGAAACUUGAAAGGGUAACUCUCCUAGGAAAGGUGAGGAUCUAGCACUGUCACAAAGUUUGUCCAUCCUAAUAGUUUUAUACGUGCAAGACUUUCAGAUCUGCUUAUUGAAAAACUAAAUGAAACUUUAAAUUCUUCUUACAGAAUAUGCAAGUUGUAGACUCCAUCGACAAGACUGACUGUGAAAUUCCAUGCAACACCAACAAUGAUGUUGCUUACCAUCCAGCAGUUGAGGAAAAUCUAGAAAAAACAGCAAUUGUGGAAACAACUGAUGAACCAGUGGUUGAAGAGAAACCUGAUGUACCAGCGAUUAAGGAGAAACCUGAAGUACCAAAUAUUGAGCAGAAACUUGAAGAGUUAGCAGGAGAGGAAACACAUGAAGAACUAGCAGUUGAAGAGAAACUAGAAGAACCAAUUACUGAAGAGACACCUGCAGAACUAGUUAUAGAAGAGAAACCUGAAAACCCAGCAGUUGAAGAGGAGAAACCUGAAACAGACGCUCUCCAAACGAAGGUCAGGAUUAAACAUUGUCACAAAAUUUAUCCAUCCUAUUAGCUUUAUAUGUGCAAGGAACUCACAUAUGCUAAUCUAUUGAAAGACUAAGUCAAACUUUAAAUUUUUCUUGCAGAAUAUGCCAAUUGUAGACUCAAAGGACAAGAUUGACAUUGAAAGUCCAGGCAAUAUCAACAAUGAUGGUGCUGACUAUCCAGAAGUUGAAGAUAAACCUGAAGAACUAGCAGUUGAAGAAAAACAUGAAGAACAAGCAAUUGAAGAGAAGCCUGAAGAACCAGCAAUUAAGGAAAAAGCUGAUGAACCAGCAGUGCAAGAAAAACUUGAAGAACCAGCUGUGGAAAAGAAACCUGAAGAACCAGUGGCUACGGAGAAACCUGAAGAACCAGCAAUUAAGGAAAAAGCUGAUGAACCAGCAGCGCAGGAGAAACCUGAAGAACCAGCUGUGGGAAAGAAACCUGAAGAACCAGUGGCUACGGAGAAACCUAAAGAACCAGCAAUUAAGGAAAAAGCUGAUGAACCAGCAGUGCAAGAGAAACCUGAAGAACCAGCUGUGGAAAAGAUACCUGAAGAACCAGCAGUCGAGGAGAAAUUUGACGAACCAGCAGUUGGAGAGAAAUCAGAAGAACCAGUAGUUGAACAAACACCUGCAGGACCAGCAUGGGAAGAAACACCUAAAGAACUAGCAUUUGAAGAGAAACCUGAAGAACCAGCAGUUGAAGAAACACCUGAAGAACCAGCAGUUGAAGAAACACCUGAAGAACUAGCAGUUGAAAAGAACCCUGAAAAAACAGCAGUCGGAGAGAAACAUGAAAAAGUAACUCUC
rnacentral:lncRNA from 1 species